rnacentral:lncRNA from 1 species
GGACAAAAGAAAACGGGGAUUCAUUAGAGUUUAUAGAUAUAUAAAUAGAAUUAGACUGGAAUACUAUUAAUAGUAAAACCCUUUUUUUGCCAUCAAGUUUUUAACCUUUGGAUGAAAAAUUGUAGGGUUAGGAUGAUAUUAGUCAGUUAGAGUUGAGUGGUCCCCCUAGGGUUGAGUGUUCCCCACUGGGUUAUAGUAUUUAAUCCAAUGGUUAGAAAUGAUGAAAAGAGUUGAUCCAAAGGCUAAAAAACUAGUAGCAACAAUGGGAUUUUGCUACUAAUAGUAGCCCAGUCCAACUCUCUCUCUCUCUCUCUCUCUCUCUCUCUCUCUCUCUCUCUCUAUAUAUAUAUAUAUAUAUAGCAUAAUUCUACCUACUAUACUAUCGAUAGUACCAAGCCCUUGGUACUAUUGAGUUUUCUACCGUUAGAUCUACCUUUUGAUCAUUUCCACCCGUUAGAUUAUACUAUUAAACCAACCACCAACUCAACCCUAGGGGACGACUAUCAUCCUAACUGCACAUCCUUUUAUCCAACGGCCAAAAACUCGAUAGUACCAAAGGCUUGAUACUAUUGAUAGUAUAGUAGCAUAAUUCUAUAUAUAUAUAUAGAGUGAGGCUACUAUGCUAUCGGAAGCACGAAGCCUUCCGUGCUUCCAGCUCGUUUUCGAUGUUGCGACUUUCGAAUUGUCGAUCGGCUCCGUUAUACUUGAUUUAGAGUAUUUGGAGUACCUAGAAAAUAAAUUUUAUUAUUUUUCGAUAUCAUUUGCCUAGUAGUCGAAUGGGCUCAAAAUCAACAAAUUUGAAUGGCUGAAGUGAGCCGUUUGUAAGUUUAACGAUGUAGAAAUAUUCAAAUCACGUGAAAUUUUGAUAGAAAAUUCUUUAUACUAUAUAAAACAAGAUCAAUAUUUUUGAUUUAAAAUUUUAAUAUCAUAUUAUUAUAUUUUGUAAGAUUUUUAUUUUCAGCCGUUGAUUUUGACCCACUUCGAUCACUAGGCAAAUGAUAUUAAAAAAUCGCAAAAUUUAUUUUCUAGAUACUUAAAAUAUUCUAGAUCAAGUCUGACAGAGCUGAUCGUCGAUUCAAAAGUCCCAACAUCGAAAAUAACUUAGAAGCACGGAGCACUCCGUGCAUCCAGAAGCAUACUAGACGCACUAUAUAUAUAUAUAUAUAUAGAGUCCGGCUACUAUGCUAUUAAUAGCACGAAGCACUUGGUGCUACCAAUUUUUCCGCCGUUAGAUCUACCCUUUUGAUCAUUUUCACCCGUUAUAUCAUACUAUUCAACCAACCACCCACUCAACCCUACGGGACCCACAUCAUCCUAACCACACUUCUCUUAAUCCAAUGGCCAAAAAUUUGGUAGCACCAAUGACUUUGUGCUAUUAAUAGCAUAGUUCUAUAU